rnacentral:rRNA from 1 species
CAGUCGCCGCGGGAAUACAGAGGGUGCGAGCGUUAAUCGGAUUUACUGGGCGUAAAGCGUGCGUAGGCGGCUUUUUAAGUCGGAUGUGAAAUCCCUGAGCUUAACUUAGGAAUUGCAUUCGAUACUGGGAAGCUAGAGUAUGGGAGAGGAUGGUAGAAUUCCAGGUGGAGCGGUGAAAUGCGUUGAGAUCGGAAAGAACACCAACGGCGAAAGCACUCUGCUGGGCCGACACUGACACUGAGAGACGAAAGCUAGGGGAGCAAAUGGGAUUAGAUACCCCUGUAGUCCCUGUCUCUUAUAA